UGCUGUUCGACGGGCAGAGCGUGAGUGGGCAGGGAGGGGUCACCCUGGCAGGUGUCGGUCUGGGGGGCCCCGCCUCACCCCCCUGCCUCCCCAGGGCUGCAUCUGUUACCGCCCUGAGGAGCACCAGGUCUGCUUCCUCCGCCUGAUGGAGGACAGUGAUCGGGAGACCCUGCGGCUGCUGGUGGAUACCUCCAAGGUCCAAGAGGCUUGGGUCCCCAGCCAGGACACCCACCACACCCAGGAGCUGCU
rnacentral:lncRNA from 1 species